GAUGAACGCUGGCGGCGUGCCUAAUACAUGCAAGUCGAGCGAACAGACGAGGAGCUUGUGCCUUUGACGUUAGCGGCUGACGGGUGAGUAACACGUGGAUAACCUACCUAUAAUACUGGGAGAACUUCGGGAAACCGGAGCUAAUACCGGAUAAUAUAUUGAACCGCAUGGAUCAAGAGUGAAAGACGGUUUGGCUGUUUCUUUUAGAUGGAUCCGCGCCGCAUUAGCGAGUUGGUAAGGUAACGGCUUACCAAGGCAACGAUGCGUAGCCGACAUGAGAGGGUGAUCGGCCACACUGGAACUGAGACACGGUCCAGACUCCUACGGGAGGCAGCAGUAGGGAAUCUUGCGCAAUGGGCGAAAGCUUGACGGAGCAACGCCGCGUGUGUGAUGAAGGUCUUCGGGUCGUAAAACUCUGUUAUUAGGGAAGAACAGCAGUAUAAGUAACUAUGCAAGUCUUGACGGUACCUAAUGAGAAAGCACCGGCUAACUUCGUG
rnacentral:rRNA from 1 species